CCCCUAAUCCCCCGCCUUCCGGCUCCGGCGGCGACGCUCGCUUCUUGCCGCCGCCGCGCUGCCGGUGUCAGCCUCCCUCGGGAGACUCCAUUUGCUCUCAGAUUGGUCUGGUCGCCGCGAAGUCAGGCAGAGAGCGAUGUCCCCGGCCCGUGGACUGGUGUCCCCCAGGCCAAGCGCCCUCUCCCUCGCUGGCUGGCUUCGGUGGUGACAUCCUGGUUGCUGGCGACCACGGAGGAAUCCGGGCUCCCUCUCCAUGAGCAAAGACGUCCCGCGUUUCUGCGGGGAAAGGCCCUCGCUAACACGGCUGCUCUCUGACCUCUUAAUUUCAGGAGGUUUUCGGAGGCUUGGAGUGCCUAUACAGCCCCCGACAGGAACUGCUUCUGUUGGCCCAUCGAGGAUCAUCUUUCACCAGGAUUAUCGUAACAUCUUCACUGAGCCUUCCACCCCAUAGUCUCUACCAUGAGUCCUGAUUUCUGCCAAUGAAGUUUUUUUUUUUUUUUUUUUUUUUACGCUUUCUUUAAUCAUGUGACACCACUUCUGGUCAGCCUUUUCCCUUUUCAGUUGCCAAACACAUUAGGUGGAAGUUUGUGUCGUGUUAAAGUACGGAGUUUCUUGCUUGUCCACUCUCAGCCUUGUUUGCACUGCUCACUUCUGUUCAGCUUGCCUUCUCCUGCUUGCCUAUGAUUUCCAUUAUCACUCUCUUGCGUAACCUGUAGCAGUCCUUGCCCGGGGAGGCAGCAUUCCAUACAGUGCACUGCCUGACAAGGACAGCAGUCAGGGGGUGAGUUUUCCCAUUAUAAUUUCUUAUUAAGUUUGCAAGUCCUGUCUUAAAAACUUUGUUCCCUAGCACAUUUCUCUAAAUUCGUCCACCAGUGACUUAGUUCCUUUAACAUAGAGCCUCACCCAUAGGAUGGCAAAAACAAUUAAGUACACAAUAGGACUGUUUUCGAGACCUUGCUAAUACAGUAUGGGUUAUCAUCACCAUUGAGAUUACAGUUCAUGAAAAGAUCUUAAACUUAGGAGAAGCAAGAUAGAAGAUAGGAUUAAUUGGAGCUAGUCUUUGUUGUUUUGAGUUUGUAAAUUUUAAAAGAGCAAAGUGAAGAGAGUCACAUAGGCUUGGCCUGGAAAUUGGCCAACACACUGUCCAUCUAGGUCCUAGUGGGGCAGGAAAGGGAUCUUAAAACACCAUUUUUUAAAUCUCAUUGUGUCCAAAUCUAACUUAUUAAAGGUCUUGUUGUAGUAAUCCUCUAAAAUAUUAGGUACAAUGUUGGGGAAACGAAAGCGUGUGGUGUUGACAAUUAAGGACAAGCUUGACAUUAUUAAGAAAUUGGAGGAGGGCAUCUCUUUCAAAAAGCUUUCCGUGGUAUAUGGAAUUGGUGAAUCCACAGUUCGUGAUAUUAAAAAGAACAAAGAAAGGAUAAUAAACUAUGCCAACAGUUCAGAUCCUACAAGUGGGGUAUCCAAACGUAAAUCUAUGAAGUCGUCCACAUAUGAAGAACUUGACAGAGUUAUGAUAGAGUGGUUUAACCAACAGAAAACAGAUGGAAUUCCAGUGUCAGGAACGAUUUGUGCAAAACAAGCCAAGUUCUUUUUUGAUGCUCUGGGGAUGGAAGGUGAUUUUAAUGCAUCCUCUGGCUGGCUGACUCGAUUCAAGCAGCGCCAUGGUAUUCCAAAGGCUGCUGGUAAAGGAACAAAAUUAAAAGGAGACGAAACUGCUGCCAGUGAGUUUUGUGGUAACUUUCAGGAAUUCGUUGAGAGAGAGAAUCUACAACCAGAACAAAUUUAUGGUGCUGAUCAAACUGGAUUGUUCUGGAAAUGUCUACCAUCAAGGACAUUAGCUCUUGAAACUGAGCAAAGUUCUUCUGGUUAUAGAUCAAGCAGAGAGAGAAUCAUUAUUAUGUGUUGUGCAAAUGCCACUGGUUUACACAAACUUAAUCUUUGUGUUGUGGGAAAAGCAAAAAAACCUCGUGCAUUCAAAGGAGCUGAUCUUUCAAACCUUCCUGUCACUUAUUUCAGUCAAAAAAGUGCAUGGAUAGAACAUUCUGUUUUCAGACAGUGGUUUGAAAAAUACUUUGUGCCACAGGUACAGAAGCAUUUGAAAUCCAAGGGGCUUCUAGAAAAAGCAGUGCUCCUUUUGGACUUUCCUCCAGCACAUCCAAAUGAAGAAUUGUUGAGUUCAGAUGAUGGCAGAAUAAUUGUGAAAUAUUUACCACCAAAUGUCACAAGUCUCAUUCAACCUAUGAGCCAAGGAGUUCUAGCCACAGUAAAAAGAUACUACCGAGCAGGACUUCUCCAGAAAUACAUGGAUGAAGGAACUGACCCCAGAAUGUUCUGGAAGAACUUGACAGUGUUAGAUGCAAUUUAUGAAGUGUCAAGAGCUUGGAACAUGAUAAAGUCAAGUACCAUAACCAAAGCAUGGAAAAAACUUUUCCCUGGCACUGAAGAGAAUUCAGGCAUGAACAUUGAUGAAGGAGCCAUUUUAGCAGCUAACUUAGCAACAGUUUUACAGAACACAGAAGACUGUGAACAUGUUGACCUUGAGAAUAUUGAUCAGUGGUUUGACUCUCGGAGUAAUGAUUCAAGCUGUCAGGUCCUAACUGACAGUGAAGGUGUGGAGGACCAGGCCAGGCCUGCCGAGACCAAGCCUUCCAGUAAGACUAGAAAAACAGAACUGAAUCCAGAGAAGCAUAUCAGCCAUAAAGCUGCACUUGAAUGGACCGAAAAUUUACUAGAUUAUCUAGAACAACAAGAUGACAUGCUUCUGUCUGAUAAACUGGUAUUGCGAAGGCUUCGAACCAUAAUAAGAAGAAAACAGAAGAUCCAGAAUAACAAAAGUCAUUAAUAAGGCUCUUAAGAGUUUCAGUGUAUUUGCAUCUGUGUGACUUUAUCUGCAGUGGAACUUAAUUUUAUUUGAAUUGCUGUGGAUUUCAAAGCCAAAUGCAUUUUAUAAAUGACUUUAGAAUUAGAUGCCAUUUUGGAUUACGUAAAUUACUGCACUUGAAUGUUGAUUCUAGGAAGUUGACAUGUACCUUGUUUGUCUACUGUUCCUAAUCUGUAUUGUACUAAUUUAGAUCAUAAGGUACCUGAGGCCAGGGCGCCUAUGUCUGUUUUGUACCUGAAUGUCAUUGUCUAAUAGAGGACCACGCACACUAUAGGCAAUCAAUAAAUCUUUCUUAAAUUGA
rnacentral:lncRNA from 1 species